GGACUACUGGGGUAUCUAAUCCCGUUUGCUCCCCUAGCUUUCGCGCAUCAGCGUCAGAAGAGGCCCAGCGAGCCGCCUUCGCCACCGGAGUUCCUGUGAAUAUCAACGCAUUUCACCGCUCCACUCACAGUUCCGCUCGCCCCUACCUCCCUCGAGACCGCCAGUAUCUGAGGCCAUUCCACGGUUGAGCCGCGGGAUUUCACCCCAGACUUGGCAGCCCGCCUACGCGCCCUUUAAGCCCAGUGAUUCCGAACAACGUUCGCACGGUUCGUCUUACCGCGGCUGCUGGCAC
rnacentral:rRNA from 3 species